rnacentral:lncRNA from 1 species
AUGUCUCCUUCAUUUCCACACCAAAAAACAUCCAAAGACUCCCCAAAAUCUUACCAGAUUUACAACCCUUUGUGCAGUUAGUCCCCAUUCCAUUUCCACCGUUGGAUCCCGACUUAUUGCCGGAAGGAGCUGAGGCCACCGUGGACCUCCCCUUUGAAAACACUGACAACUUGAAGAUUGCAUACGACCUCCUGCAAACACCCAUCAAGCAGUUCAUUGGGGAUCGAUUGCCUGAUUGGAUCAUAACCGACUUUGUUGCUCAUUGGGUUGCAGAUAUUGGCAAAGAGUACGGCGUUCCACUUGUCUAUUUUUCUGUUUUCUCUGCUGCUUCAAGGAUCGUUUAUAGUCCAGCUGAAAAUCUCUACGGUUGUAAUACAACUGAUGUUCUGCCAUCGCCGGAAAGCCUUACUUCGCCACCGGAUUUGCUUACUUCUCAGUCAACUGUCGCGUUCCGGGAGCGCGAGGCGGUCCAUAUACACGCAGGCUUUUAUGGAGUGAACGAGUCCGGGAUAAGUGAUGCCGAAAGAAAAGCCAAGAUUCUAUCAGCUUGUCAAGUUCACGCCAUUCGGAGCUGCGAUGAGUUUGAAGGAGAGUACUUGGAGGCGUACAAGAACAACUGUAGGAAGCUUGUGAUUCCCACAGGUUUGCUUCCUCCUGAGAUACCUGCUAAAGGGGUAGAAAGGGAGAUUUCCAGUGACGAUGGGAUCUUUGAAUGGCUCGAUAAGCAAAAAACCAGGUCAGUUGUGUUUGUAGGGUUUGGGAGUGAGUGUAAGUUGAGUAAAGCGCAAGUCUUUGAGAUAGCUCAUGGGCUGGAGCUAUCACAACUCCCUUUUCUUUGGGCACUCAGAAAACCCAAUUGGGCAACCAGUGAAGCUGAUGCUCUGCCUCUCGGGUUUGUUGACCGUAUAUCAGAUAAGGGGCUUGUUUGCUUCUUAUGGGUGCCCCAAAUGGAAAUCUUGGCACACCCAUCAGUUGGGGGUUCUUUGUUUCACUCUGGAUGGGGAUCAAUAAUUGAGACUCUGCAAUUUGGGCAUGUUCUUGUUGUGCUACCAUUCAUUAUUGAUCAGCCUCUCAAUGCAAGGCUUUUGGAGGAGAAGGGUAUGGCUGUCGAAGUGAAACGACUCGGAGAUGGGUCGUUUAGUAGAGAUGACAUAGCCAAAACACUGCGGCAUGCGAUGGUGGAAGAGGAAGGAGAGCCGUUGAGAUCCAAUGCUAGGAAAGCUGCAACUGUUUUUGGAGAUCACAAGCUGCACCAAGACCACUACAUUGGCCAGUUUGUCAACUUUCUCAAAAACAACACUACAGAAAGGUCAUCCUGUUCUUAGAUGUCCCAAUUAUAUUAGCUAAUAAUUUAGAAUGGCGCCAAAAAUUUCACAGCAUUGGAGAUGCUGGAUUAAUUUUGGAUAUGAAUUACUUAAUUAACCUGUGUGUUUCUAUAAGCUUUCAAGUCAUUUUUGUGGUGGUCAAUAUAAGCUGGACUAAUUUUAUGAUGCUUGUCUUGUCAGUUAUAUUCUAAAAUCACAAGAACAACAAGACAUUAGGAUCACAAAUUCAAUUAGCCGAAUUACAAUAAACCAAUUACAUUCAAUUUAUCUGUAGAAGAGAAAUUAGCACAUGUAUAAGAAUGUUUUCUACUCUCUCCAUUAUAUAUUCUUGCUAUCACACCUAGCUCGUAAUUGUCGCAACAAACGAAGAAUUGCUCCUCAAGCCAAUCUCUUAGAAGAUCAACUUAUUGCUAUGGUGUCAGAGGUCUGAGGGGUGGUGGGUGGACACUAGCGCUUCAUGCCAUAUCUGCUGCUAUGAUCGCGGGCUUUUUAAGUGCUACAGUGAGGCGGAAGAUGGAAGGGUUUUGUUAGUUGACUCUCACUCAACUCAUAUUACUGAAGUCGGGGGAGUCGAGCUUAAGUUCAUCUCAGGGAAGACUGUGAUAUUGAAGGAAGUGCUGCAUGUUCCAGAGAUUAGGAAGAAUUUGGUUUCCGGUUACCUGAUCAACAAAGCUGGGUUCACUCAACAAUUGGGACUGACAUGUAUAAUCUCACAAAGAAUGGUGCCUUUAUUGAAAAAGGGUAUGCUACAGAUGGAAUGUUCAAACUGAAUGUUGAUGUUAUGAAUAAAAUUGUUGCUUCUGCUUACAUGUUGUGUUCUUUUAAUGUUUGGCAUGCUAGGUCAUGUCCCGUAAAUAAGAAACUAGUUAAACAAAUGAGUAGUGUAGUCAAGCAAAAAUCACGAGAGCACCACACCAAUCCGUGAUUAGAGAAACUGAACUACUUGAUUUAAUCUACUCCGAUAUAUGUGAAUUUGAUGGAGUAAUCACAAGAAAUGGGAAACGUUACUUCAUCACCUUUAUAGAUGAUUAUUCAAAUUAUUGUGUUGUUUAUUGUAUGUAAAACAAGAGUGAAACUCUUGACAUGUUCAAACUUUUCUUAAUUGAAGUGGAGAAUCAGUUUAAUCAAAGGGUUAAAAGGUUUUGUAGCGAUAUGAUUUUUGAAUAUGAGUGAUAGGGAUUUUUACCACCUGCAAAAGUAAGGAUAAAAAUACUUGCAAUAGUACAAGGUUGUCAUAGUAUAGCAGCUCAAGCAAGGUCGUUUUCCACAAGGAUUGAACAAAUAAUUUAUGUUAAAAUCAAAUCUUAAUUAAUUAUUUGAAAACAAAGUUUAGAAAAAGGUGAUUUAAUGACCUAAAAUAUUAAAAACGAAUUUAAUUAAAAACAAUUAAACAAAAUUAGCUACGUAAAUAAAACAAAAGAAAAUAGUUUUGAAAACAAAUUUGAGCACUAGGGUUACGCUGUCACAUUGACAAUCCUACGUAGUUCUUCCAAUUACUUAUAAGUUAUACAUGCAUAUUUGAAGAUUAGGUUUUCCUAAAGUAUGCCCUACUUGGAACCUCCAACAUAUAACGUAUAUCUAACAUGCAACCCGUCCAUGGUGUCCAGAUCGAAUGUGAACGUGCAAGAUUCAUUAAGUUUUAUGAAAACCUUUUGAAAAACCAUAUAACCCUUAAAAUGUGUCGUCCAUCCUAAGAGGUUACACAUAUUAACCACAAGAAGCCAUCACCAAUUCCAGGGACAACCCUCCGCCAAAAUUGCAUCAAAUUACUUUUUUAAAUAUCUUAAUGGUGGCCAAUCAUCAAGACAAUUAGAUAGUUUAAAGCACAAUGAUUAAUAAUUCAAAACUUGCAUGCAUAAUAUCAUAAGUAAAUUGAAAAGAAACUACAUAUUCUUGUUAAGGCUCGUGGCCUCACCCUAGCAAAAAGGAUUAGUUAAGCAUAUUCAUAAUUAAAAUCAAAAGAAUUAUAUUAAACUAGAAAAAGAAUGAAAACACCUUGUAGAAUAAAGUCUUGAAAUCUCUAAGCUUUGCCCAAAGUCUUCUCUCCAAAAGUUGCAUACGAUAUAUCCCCUCCAAUUGGAAUCACUUCAAAAUUCAUCUAUUUGAAUACUUUUUGCUCCAGAGGAAAUCGAAUGUUCUACAUUGAAAAUAUAUAACAAAGUAUCAAAAUCUACCAAAAUAACCAAUAAAUUAUAACUAAGAUUAGGGUAAAAUAUAUAGUAUAAUAUCGCGUCAUCAAUGAGUCUAAUGCCUUCAAUGAACACUGUAAAAACCUAGGUAUUCUACAGGAAACCAUAUAUAUGUGAGAUAUGUAUAUGAUUUGCAUUGUGUUAGUGGUGCAAUUUCCAUGGUGAUUAUGAAAAUUCCGAUAGUAGGAAUUAUUAUUUGCAUUGAUAUUGCAUUAUUCUCUAAGUUCUUUGAAUAAUGAGUAAGUUAUGUGGAAUAUACAUAAUCAUCAUGAAAUGAAGUGAACUUGGUUUAUUUGAAUGUGAAGGAAUUUAUUUGGAUAUGAGCAUUUGACUCAAGCCUCGGAUAAAUCUUAAAUGGGAUUGAUAUUAUGUUAUGAGUUAUGAAAAUAUUUGAAUGUUAAGAUGAUAAUGGAAUUGUGACAUGUAGAUGGAAGAGUUGUAUUAUACUAGUGCCAGUGAGAAAUAUUGAAUUGGGUAGAAAAUGUCGUGUAUGUUGAAUUGGGUGAAAAAGGCCCGUUGAUGUCGAUUUGGGUGUGAUAGCCCGUGGAAUGGGAGGAUGAGUAAUAUGGGCACAAAGACCCGAGGAUGUGUGAUAUGGGCAAAAGACCCGAAGAUGUGUGAUGUGGGCAAAAAGGCCCGAGGAUGUUGAUUUGGGCAAAAAACCCGUGGAUAUUGAUUUGGGCAAAAAAAAAAGCCCGUGGAUGUGGAUUUGGGCCAAAUGACCAAUGGAAUGUGGAAAAGUGAUUGAAUGGGCAUAAAGACCCAGUGUUUUCGGGAGAAAAGCUCCAUGUGUGGGUUGUGAGAAUGAAUUAUUGAAGUAAUAAGAAUAUGUGAUGUGUAUUGGCUAGGUAUAUUACAAUAUUUUCCAAUCUACUAGUAGCUGAUUGAAAAAAAAAAUGGUGGUGGAAACAUUGUUUUGACAGUGAUCAUAAAGAUUUUUUCAUUUAUUAUUGGUGGACAUGAAUGAAAAUAUGGAAUGAGAUCCUGAGUUCGUUUAAUAUAAACGUUUUCCAGUUGAGUUUUUAUGUUUGAUGAGGAGAAUUGAUGGGGAAAGUUUAUAAAUUACAAAUUUGAUUGGUUUGGUUUGCCAUUAACGAAUUAUGGCGUGAAAUUCUGAUAUUUUGUUAGCCACGAUAGUCAUGGCUUAAAAUUUGACAUUUGAUUUUGCCAAUAUUGUUUAUGACCAGAAUCUCUGAUAUUGGUGUUGCCAAAAGAAAUGGUAAGUGGUAUUACCAAUAAUUAUGAUUUAAAUUUCCAAUUAGUGUGAUUGGGAUUUCGUAUGAAGAUUCAUCGAAUGAGAAUGAAAUCAUAAACUGAGGUUAUGUUUUGGUUAUUAUAAUUUGAAAUGGUGGAAAGACCAUGAAGUUUUCUUCAUUUAUUAUUGGUGGAUAUUGAUGUGAAAAUUAACUUAACACACAAAUUAAACCCUCUUGUUGUCAAAUUGUAGUAUAAAUGCAAGUAGGGAUCGUUCUAAACCGGGGAUUAGGAGGGCUUGCUAAAACCUCUAAACUAACUUAAAAACAUAUAAAAAAAAGUUAAAAACACUAAACUAGACUCGAAGAACUUAAAACAAACUCAAAGGACUCAAAACAAGCUAAAAACGCUCAAAUCUGCCUAAAAACACAAACUGGGCAGAUUUGGACUCUAACACACUUUUGGGACACCUAAAAACACAAAUCAAAACAGAUUUUAACUAAUAAAACACUUUAAAGUAAAGGGGGUUUUGGUUUUGAAGAAUUUGAAAACAAAACAAGUAAAUUAGAGAACUAAUGAAAUCUGCACGAAUUUGAGUAAAUUGAAUGGAUGGAAGGCUAGCUAGGAGGUUCUUCUCCACACAUGACAUACUUGCACAUAAACCAAUUUUCAGUUGUUCUUUUGAUCAAUCAUGAAACUCAACACCCCAAGUUAAUUAAGUCCACUUAAAUUAACCUUCAAGUUCUCCUUAAGUUAUUGAAUUGGAUGGGAAAGCGCAUACAACAAUUCAAGCAUUCUUCAAAAGUUCUUUACGUGAACAUCACAAUAAAGAUACAAUCAAAGAUCAUUAAGCAUUAUGAAAACUAUAAGUAUUGACGAGGCAUUCGUUACUAUGAUGAGCAUGAAACUCCUGCUAAGAAUUUAUUUAACGCGAUCGUUUAUAAGCGACCUCCACUACUUGUGAAUAUAAGUUUGUAACUAUUAGGUGAAACUCCCUUAUACUCUAGCAUCAUAUUCAUGCAUGCAAACUAAGUGUGCACUUUUAAUAAACAUACACGAAUAAGUUAUCAAUCAAGCAGUUAAACAAAUUGAAUUCACAACUUAUGAAAUCACAACUGAAGGUAAUCAAAUCAUAUUGCAAGCAUGAACAUGGUUUCGAAUUCCCCCUAGCUAAGGGGGGUUUAGUUCCUCAUACUCACAAAGCAAAGAUAAACAAAUUUAGACAUUGAAAACAAAAGAAUGAAAACACCUAAAAACGCUCCAACAAUCAAACUUGAAUGGCAAGCACGUCCAAGGGUCCUCAUUCUUCUCUUUGUUGCGGCACAAGGUGUGGUUUGAUGGAUAAGUGGUAAAUUAUGGUGGUGGAUGGAUAUAGGUGAGUUAUGGUGAAGGGUGGAUGAGUGGAUUGUGUUCUAUUUUUGGUUGGAUGAGUGCCACGGCAAGGGAAUGGAAUUGUAUGUGUUUGUGGGAUGUGGGAAUAUAUGGAUGAAUGUAAAGUCUUUUUCUAUGGAUCCCUAGUUAUGGUGGAUGGUGGAUGUAUUUAUAGGCUAGGGAGAGGAGUGUAUGGAGUUGUAAUGAGUGGAUGUAAUGGUAGGUGAAUGUGUUGGGUGGUUGUAAUGAGUGGAUGUAGUGGUAGGUGAGUUGUAAUGAGUGGAUGUAGUGGUAGGUGAAUGUGUUGGGUGGUUGUAAUGAGUGGUUGUAAUGAGUGGAUGUAGUGGUAGGUGAAUAUGUUGGGUGAAAUGAGUAGAUGUAGUGGUAGGUGAAUGGAUGUGUUGGGUGAAAUGAGUGUGCUAAAAUGGUUAUUUAUAGGGAGAGGAUGAUGCAUAAACUUCAAAUUUCGUCCAUUCCUUUUGCUCCAAGCAUAUGCUAUCCAUUCCAUGCCCAAAAAUGCUCCAAAAUGCACUUCUUUGCCACAUUAACCCUUUGGACCUACAAACACACGAAAAUAGCUUAAAAUACUAAAAUAACUACGAACUAACAACAUAAAUGCCAAGAAACAAGCUAACUAAGUCGCAUAAAUAUGCUCCUAUCAGAUAUGAGUAAAAUUAUGGAAUGAAGCAUUGAGUUCAUUUAAUAUAAACGACUUCCCAGUUGUGUAUUUACGGAUGAUGGAAAUAAUUGUUGAGGAAAGCUUGUAAAUACAAACUGGAUUGGUUUGGUUACCAUAGUCAUGAGUUAUUAUUGUUAGAUUUGAUAUUGCGAACAAACCUGAGGAAGAACACAUAUUUUCAUGACUAUGUGAUUAACAAGGAUUAGUUUUGUUGGCCAAUAAAGUUGUACAAUAUAUAAAUUCCUCUUCCUUGAUUGAUGAAAUGUGAAUAGUGCUCUGGAAGUGUGGCUCACAAAUUUAUUCUACACUUCGAAGCAAUUUCAAAGAGAACCAAUAGAAAGAAAGAAAAAGAUAAGGUUUUAAAUUUACUAUGGGUAAUUUAGUUUAAUGGUGGAUAUGAAAUGAAAUCAUAGAAUGAGAUUGAUUUCGUUCAAUGUUAAUGGUAUUGCAUAUUUGGUUUUAAACUCCUUCCCAUUACCUAGUGAGUGUGAUUGGAAAUUUUAAUGGUUGGUUGAAAUUUUGAUAUUUACUUAGCCACUAAUGAUUAUGGCUUGAAAUUAUGAUAUUUAAUUGAUCGAAGAUGGUUAUGGCUGGAAUUUAUGAUAAUCGUGGUUAUUAUGCUAGUAUAUAUCUAGCCAAUUGUUGAUGUGGUUUGAUGUUUUGGUAUUUAUUUAGUCAACGAGAAUUAUGGUUUAAGGUUGAUAUUAUUUUUGCCAAUGUGUAUGGAAUAUUUAUUUUGCCAAUGAAUGUGGCUGGAAAUCUGAGAGUGUGGGUGAGAAUCACAAUUAUUAUUCAUUGGAUGCUUAUUUUGGAGCCUAAAUAAAAUCGUAGACUAAGAUUAUGAUAUCAUUCACCAUUAAAGGAAUGGUGGAAAUAAUUUUAAUUCCUUUUCGUUAUUCGAUGGUUGAAAUCUUGAGGACGAGAUUUAUUUUAAUGGAGGGUGAAUGUAAUACCCUGAAAAUUUAAACAUAUGAAUUAUAUAUUCAUAAUUAUGAAUAUGUGAAGAAAAUCGAAAAUAUAUCGAUUUACGGUUACGAAAAUAAAAUUGGGAAAAUUGUAAAGUUUUGUUUCCAGAAAUUAUUAUAAUCUAUGUAUUAGUAUUAUUGAGAUUUUAUGUUAUUUUUGAAGAAAUUAUAUUAAUUUGUUUUAUUUUAGUUUUAAAUUAAACUGGUUACAAAGUUUGAAGUUUGGAAAUUAAUUAAUUAAAAUUUGUAGACCAUUCGAGGUCAAAAUUUAUAUUUUUAAAUAGAGCUCGAUCAUAUGAACGCGUGGACGCAAACCAUUCGUGAAACGGAAUUCUAACGAAAGAGUUAUUAACGUUUGAAUUUAGGGAUAUUUUUGUAAAUUUAAUCUUUAAUCUAGAAGGCUCCAAUUUUUGGAGCAAUCUUGUGGGGCUAUGUGGACGGCUGAGAUGAAAAGGGGAGGAGAGAAAGGAGAGAAAAGAGGGAAAGGAGAUGGGGAGGGCCAAUCAGAAAGAAGAGAAAGGAGGGGAAGGGAGAAAAGAAAAGGAAGGGAAUCAGAUCCCUUUUGAGUACCCGUGACCCGACCCGGUUCCAUCUCCCAACUCCGACCACCAUUGACAACUAUGUUGGUGUCAAAAUGACCCUUACCUUGAGGCCAUUCGAUCCCUCUCCUAUUUUCAUUCAAAAAUUUAAUAAAAUUUGAUGGAUUUUGAAAGGAAACCGUACGGAGGGGCACACGGGUUUGGCUUUGAUUCACCAUGAUCUGAAGCUAACUCUGCCCAUCACCACCACCCAUAGUCUCCCCUCAACCUCAGUGACAAAGCCCGUGCAUUGGUUGGGGCAUCAGAGUGGUUUUAGAGGCGAAUCAAGAACACUCAAAAUCAAGGGUUUCCAGUGGCUCGUGGCCAAUUUGAGGUGUUUCCCGACCAAAUUGAACUUGGCCACAGGUGUGAAAGUUAUUCCCCUCACUAAGAUCUACUUGCCUGUAAAAUUUGGUAAUUUGUGGAAAUAGUUGAUAUUUUCCGGCAAUUCGGGGCGGCCGACCGCCACCUGCGGCGGCGCGUGACCAGUGGGCCGCCAUUGUCUUUUUCAUGAAAAUUUCCAUAUUUUGAAUCCAUAAUUGGUAACCAUUUGAUGUGAUUUGAUUGUGAAAGUUAAUGGUGAAUAUGGUGGUUACUAGAAUAUGUUUGGAAAUUGAUAAAGAAAGGAAGGAAGGAAAUGUGAACUACGAAAGGUUUGAUCCCGAUCAAGGGUACGUUGGCUGUAUAACAAUGUUAGAUGCAGCCUUAAAUAAUCAAGACAAAAUCCUUGUUUGAGGAAUUGAGCUAAGUAAGGAAUUUGGUGAAAAUGUUGAGAUUUAACCUUAUGUUUUGGUGGUUAAAUGUUGGUCAUAAAUCAAUGUGUGAGAAAGAAAGAAAAUCGAAGUAGAGAAUCGUAAGUAAUAAUAGUUAACUAAACAAGAGUUUAGUUGGCCCUAUCAUCGAUAAUUAUUCCCGUUAAUGAAUAUUUCGGGGGCGGGGUGUGACAUAGGUACUGAAGAAAAAGCUAAAAUCCGAUGGUACAAUUGACAAGUUUAAAGUUAGGUUAGUAGCUAAAGGUUUUAGGCAAAGAGAGAAUGUCUAUCACUAGAAUUACAUCUAUUCGAAUUAUGUUUGCAUUAGCUUCUUUGUAUGACCUUGUUAUGCAUCAAAUGGACGUUAAAACUGCCUUUUUAAAUGGAGAAUUAAAGGAAGAAAUUUACAUUCAAUUCAAUUAAUUAUUAUUACAACCAAACAUGAAUUAAAACAUAAUUAAGUUCAAAUACAUAACUUAUAAAAAGACCUUAAAUUUAAAUAUUGUCAUACAAAACAUAAAUUUAAAACUACUAUUUUGAUGGUCCUCCAUUCCGCUAGACUUCAUAACUCUACCUAUUCUAACCUCCCUCCAAUGCAUCCUCCAUCAACUUCAUCAACUGUUUGUCCGUAUCAUCAUCAAGAGUAUACUUACAAUGUUACACAUAUAUGCAAAUAAUUAAUUCUAACAUAUAAAAAUAAAAUUCACAAAAUUAAUUAUUGAUCCAUCAAUAGUAUACUUACUAAUAAUUUAUCCAUCACCGCAUUCUUCGCAUUCUCGAGCACAUCUUUCCAAGAACGCCACUCAGUAGGACAAUUGUUCCCCAUGGCUACAACAAUCGCAUGUGCGAACUGAAAAUGCUGCCUCAAAUCAUUCGGGGUUGGCGUCGAUCACACUGUGAUCCUUGUUUUUAUCCUCCAUCUCAGCACAAACAGACUUGUGAAGAAUAAGGAGGACAUAAUUGUGGAGAGUAAGGAGAGUAGAAGCGCAUAUUUAUAGGAAGGCUAGGGCCUUUGCGCGACAAAGUCUUUGUCGCGCAAAGACCCUCAUAAAAUACAAUGCAGAUUUCUGUUGUUUCACAUGCACUGAAUGCUUUGACUGAAAACUGACUGUAACUUGCACGACGAAACCUUUGUUGCACAAGUGUUCCUCGGUUUCCAAAGCGUUGAAUGUUCUGCCUUAGAAAUUGAACAAGCUUUGCACGACGAAGACUUUGUCACACAAAGCUUUAGCAGGAAAAGCUUCGUCGCGCGUUUAUUUUUCAGCAAAAAAAAAAAAAAAUACGUUUUUCUUAUUGGAUUUGCACAAUGAUGUGCUUUUUUGCGCGAUGAAGCUCUCCGUUGCACAACGAAGAUUUGUUCAUCGUUGCGCAAGGUGUCAUUGCGUGACGGGAUAUGCUUUGUCGCGCAAGUAGUUUUUCCUACCAAUGUAAUAUUCAUUGGCGGAUCCAUUAAGGGGAAAUGGGGGUCAGCUGACCAUCCGAACUUUGAUGAAAGUCCAUAGAUACCUUAUGUGCUGACCCUCCGAACUUCGGUGAAUGUCCAUGGAUACCUUGAGUGUUGCCCUUUUGAAGAUUAAAGUUGGCUUCAUACUUUCCCUCCAACUGACUUCAGGCCUACCAAAACCCGAUGAAUGUCCAUGAAUACCUUGAGUGAUGCCCCUUACAUACAUUAACAUGUCUGUAGUAUGCAUUUUCAAAUGACUUCAGGCCUACCAAGACUCGAUGAAAUGACGAUAUGCAUGCUAUUUCUGGUAUAAAAAAAUUUGCGCGCUGUGCGUGCUAUUCUUACUGACCCCCCUAAUAUUAUGUCCUAGAUCCGCCACUGGUAAUAUUGUUCCUUACUUUUUGAAUUUAUGCAGCACAUAUCAAUAGAUUAUGGUGUUGAAUUUCGAAAUUGGCCUCUUCACCGAAAGUUGUAAAGCUUGUUAUCGCAAGUGAUUGUGUGUGUUCGUAAAUAUAUAUUACAUUUUUCACACUUCUACAUUAAUUUUUAUUAAUUUUACAAUCAAACAAUAAAAACUGUUAUGGGGGUUUAAAAGGUUUAAAAAUCCAAACGACGAUUUAACCAUCGUCUAUGCGUAGAGGAUGCAAUCACAAGCAUCUAUAUAUUUUUAACUCCUGCUAAAACACUAUUCAUGAGGGUUUGUAGUGUUUUAAAAAAGGAAAAGUAAUGAAAAUGGCUUGAAAACUUUGAAUUUUAACGAUAAGGACAAAAUAAAGGGUAAAAUGAAUAGUACCAAGAUUGACUUUUUAGUGUAAAAAUAUGGUUUUUCGUUAAAGUUCCCCUUUAAAAAUCUAAACGACGAUGUGCUUUGGUAUUUUUAAUGUGUUUUGGAAUUUUUUUAAUCUGCGAGAUUAAAUAGUAUGAUUAUUGUAGUAAAGUUUUUUUAGUAUUUUAAAAUUAUCAAACUAACUUUUUUUUAUCGGGUUGAAACGGGUAAUUACCCGUAGGUAAACUUGUUAAGCACCUAUUACUUAACGUGUGAUCUGAUAACGACUCAAUUAAUUAGCAACUUUAACCCGAAACCCGUUAUUUUCAUGACAUUUUAAGUUGAUUUAAAAGAACGUGUAAAAAAUAUGCUAGGUCUAUGCAAAAAUAUAGAAAUAUUUAUGAGAAUUCUACUGUAUCAAAGAUAUUGUUGCCGACAACAUGCACACUCAAAUUAAUAAUACAUGUUGCCGACAACAUUACGACAUCAAAGAUAUUGUUCAAUUACACUAAUCUUUUAAAACAAAGUAGCUCACAAGUUGGUAAGGAAUCCAACUUCUUUGUCAAUUCAAAAUUUGAUAUAAGGAUAAGAGCACAAGUACAAUACAAUAUACUAUUACAAAGUUAGUAUCUCUUAUAAAAAAUUUAUGAACAAAACUUAACCGAAAUUCACUAUUAAAAUAUCAGCCAGUAACACUUCAAUUUUCAAUAUAUAAAAGGUAAUCUAUUACUCCUACUAAUUAAUAGAGACAAAAUUACAUAGGCAAACUAUUGCUCCCACUGAUUAAAAGAGUCAAAAUUUAUAAUCCCCUAUCAAAUGAAGCGAAGGCCAUUCAAAUACCCCACUAGCAAAGCAUUAGUCUUGGGAUCAUAAAAUUUGUGAGCUUAACAUCAACAUUUGUGAGCUCAACAUCAACAUUGUUGAUGCACAAAAUCAGCGGGAACUUUGGUACAACAGAAAGUGUUAAGUUUGUGACCUUCGCUAGAUUGCUCCGGUCACUAGUGUGGAUAAGUAUGUAAAUGGAUAGGAACAUGGAAGCAAACACAAGAUGUACGUGGUUCACCCAGAUUGGCUACGUCCACGGAGUAGAGGAGUUCUCAUUAAUUGUGAAGGGUUUACACAAGUAUAUAGGUUCAAGCUCUCCUUUAGUGAGUACUAGUGAAUGAUUUAGUGCAAAUGACAUUAGGAAAUAUUGUGGGAGAAUGAUCUCCUUUUAUAGAAGAGAGUUUCUAGCUUUGUUUUGACAUUGACACGUGUCGUGUUGUGAUUGGCUUCUGAUGUUGACACGUGUCGCGCUAUGAUUAGCUUCUGAUGUCGACACGUGUCGCGCUAUGAUUGGCCUCCUGGUUGGAAGGAAACUCUUCUGGGUCCUUGACGGUAUAACGUUGACCGGUGCUCAGUAGUUUCGGGAUUGGUCAAGUAUGGUACAAAUAGUGAUCCCCUAAGUUCUCGAGUGAGGGAAGCUCCUCGGUUGGGGACUUGCAAGAUCCAAGCCACUGAGUAAUCACAAAACUUCUAAGUACCGAAGUGUGGUAUCGUCUUCACUUGCCUUAUCUGUCUCAUAGGUAGAUGUGGCAUCUUCUCUGGAAGUACUUUUCCUCCAUCCAGGGGUGGUAUCUUUAACCGGUGGAGAUGCACAAGGUAAUGUAUCAAUUUGACUUGAAGCUUACUUGUAGUUUCAGGCUUGGUCAAGCGCGAUACAAACCAUGUAGUAGGAGUCCUCUAAGUCGCCGAACUAGGAGAUUUUUCGAAAGAGGUGACAGACAGGGUAAGCAAUCAGAGUUCCAAGCAAUCAGUCCUAGAUCAAAAGUUUAAUUUUAAGUUCUGGCUGAUUGUUCUCAUUCUCCCUAUCUUGCAAGCAGCAAGAAGGAUAAAGAGAAGAAAAAGGAGAAGAGAUGAUAUGAGAUACUUUUGCUUUUGAAGAAGUAACUUUCCACAUGCUUAUGCUUGAACUGGGCUGGAGGGUUUUCUGGUUUCCUCCAGAGUAUAAGGCCGACUCAAGAAUUUGAGGGUCAAAACAAGUCCAUCAAAUCUAGAGUACGUUCGACCCUGAUGAUAUGGGAUACUUUUGUUGUUGACAAAGUAGUGGAUCUAUCGACACGUGUUCUGUUACGCUUGUCUUCACAUGCUUCCUUGUAUCCUUCUCACUUGCCUUAUCUGUUCCUCAGGCAGAUGUGGUAUCUUCUCUGGAAGCAUAAGAUGUUGAAGAUGAGUACUCGAGACCAAUGGCCAGGUAAGUAAUCAGGCAAGGGGUUCCAGGCAGUCAGUUCCUGACUGGAAGCUUGAUUCCAAGUGCUGACUGAUUGCUCUCUUUCUUCUUGUCUUGCAGGUAAGAACAAGGCCAAAGGAAAACACAGGGAAAAAGCAUGAUAUGGGAUACUCUUGCUUUUAACCUUGAUGAUAUGAGAUACUCUUGCUCUGGUGUGGCUUAUUUGCAGAGGUAUUAUCGGGGGGAAAAGAAGGUGAGUAUUUUGAGAGACUCUGCUGAGAGUGCCAUCUCGGAUGUGAAGAAAAGUUGAGCAUUUGUUUUUUAUUUGCAGGUCUGCCUGGCUGUGGAGGAUGAAGGUCGACAUAUAUAAGAAUUGUCCCAAAAGCGAGUGGUAAUGUUGUUCUUUUACCCUUCUCGGUCAUAGCAAUGUAGUGGGAGUUGCAAGAUUCACAUGUUUUAACUUUGUCAGAGCAUUUUGAAAAAAUGGUCUGUGGUAUCUAGAAAGCUGAUGUUGCGUGUGAAGAUUGCAAACAAGCUUUAUCCAAGGAAAUCUGGCUCUCAAAGUUCAGAGAGCGGUACCUCUUCGGUUUUCGAACAAGCAAUCCUGUUGGGGAUCUGACUCUCGAGAUUCAAAAACGGUGCCUCUUCGAUUUUUGAGAAAGCAAUCCUGUUGGGAGUCUGGCUAUCGAGAUUCGGAAAGCGGUGCCUCUUUGAUUUUUGAGCAAGUAAUCAUGUUGGGAGUCUGGCUCUCGAGAUUUGAAGAGUGGUGCCUCUUCGAUUUUUGAGCAAGUAAUCCUGUUGGGAGUUUGGCUCUCAAGAUUCGGAGAGCGGUGCCUCUUCGAUAUUUGAGCAAGCAAUCUUGUUGGGAGUGUUUUCUCGAAUGUGAGUAAAGGUUAGGCAUUUUUGCCAGUCUGCCUUACUACGGAGCACGGAGGUUGACACACACAAGGACUUUUGAGUUAUCAAGCAAUGGUGUUGUUCCUUUACCUUUGUGGGUAAUAGUAGGGUAAAAUUUAUGUGUCUAAACUUUGUCAGAGAUCUUUGGCAAAGUUAUCUGUGGUACCCGAGGAGCUGAUGUUGCGUGUGGGGAUUGUUGACAUAUUUUACUAAGGAAAAUCUGCUUCUCUAAAUCCAGAGAGUGGUUCCUCUUCUAUUUUUGAACCAACGGCCAUGUUGCCCUUUCUUUUAUAGGGGCACCAAUUGUAUGCAAGAAGUACGUUCAGAGAGUUAUUGUUUGCAAGAAUUUUCCGCUUAUUUUUGUACUUCAGAGAUUUAUUGCACCUCUUUUCUCCUUCAUCAUUUCUGAGAAUGUCUGGCCCAUCCGAUCGUUGUUUUGACUUAAACUUUGGUGAAGAGGCAGUCAUGCCUUCUUAAGACAACAUAUGGAGCCCAUCCGUCUUAUCCCUUACUAGUCAUUUUACCGUUGGGGACUCUGUGAUGAAGAAUGAUAUGACCGUUGCAGUGGUGGCCAAGAACCUUCUCACUCCCAAAGAUAACAGAUUACUUUCCAAACGGUCUGAUGAGUUGGCUGUUAAGGAUUCUCUGACUCUCAGUGUUCAGUGUGCAGGUUCUGUGUCUAAUAUGGCCCAACGCCUAUUUGCUCGAACCCGCCAAGUUGAAUCAUUGGCGGCUGAAGUGAUAAGUCUCAAACAGGAGAUCAGAGGGCUCAAGCAUGAGAAUAAACAGUUGCACAGGCUCGCACAUGACUAUGCUACAAACAUGAAGAGGAAGCUCGACCAUCUACAUGAAUCUGAUGGUCAGAUUUUACUUGAUCAUCAGAGGUUUGUGGGUUUGUUCCAAAGGCAUUUAUUGCCUUCGUCUUCUGGGGCUAUACCGCGUAAUGAAGCUCCAAAUGAUCAACCUUCGGUGCCUCCUCCUUUUGGGGUUCUGCCCAGUACUGAGGCUCCGAAUAAUCACCCUCUGGUGCCUCCUCUUUCUGGGGCUCUGCCGACUGCUGAGACUUCUCCUGAGCAACAUUUGUGAAGGCUCCCUCUUGUUUGUUUAUUUUGAUUCAUGUAUAUGUACAUAUUUUUAACUUAUCGGAGAUAUUAAUAAACAAGCUUUGCUUCAUUUCAACGUAUUAUGUUAAAUACACCAAGGCCUUCUUCACUAAGUUCUUUGAAUUUUUUUUCUUUUGUUGAAGCUUGUAUGUUGAAGCUUUGUGAAUGAAGCAUGUAUGUUGAGGUAGUGCUCCCUUAAUUUCCCGAGUGAGGAAAACUUCUCGGUUGGAGACUUGAAAAAUCCAAGUCAUUGAGUGGUCGUGAGACUUUCAAGUAUCAAAGUGCAAUAGCAUAUGGUAGGAGUCCCCUAAGUCUCCGGUCGAGGGAGUUAACGAAUGAGGCAUUUCCUUUCUAAGUGGUAGCCCAAAACUUCUCCUUCAUAUAUCUUUGUUAUGAAAGUUGUUAGGCCCAUAGAAGAGGAGGCCUAGGCAAUUUAUUUAUUUUUUCGAAUUUUUGAAUUUUUGAAUUUCUGAAAAAAAAAAAUAUAUAUAUAUAUAUAUAUUAAGCUUUGUAGGUGAAGCUUUGGUGUUGAAGCUUUGUAGGUGAAGCUUUGAGGUUGAAGCUUUGUUGGAUACCAUGAAUUGAUUUUGCUUCACACUAUCUUGAUCAAGAUAGUGUGAAGCUUUUGUGUUGAAGCUUUGUAGGUGAAGCUUUUGUGGGUGAAGCUUUUGAAGGAAAUAUUUGUAUAAACAUGUUUAUUUAAGCAACAUCUAUAGCAUGCUAUUAACAAUUAAAAGGUGGAAUCAUACUUGCAUGCACUUAAAAACAAAACAUUAACCAUGAAACUCAAAUCAAAGUGAGUUGAGAAAUUUAUACCUUUGUAGAUUCCUCUUUGCAUAAGCAAAGGCUAAUCACCCAAAGAGAGGGUCUUCAUUCCUUGCUUCUUAAAUCUAUGGAUUUGGAUGGAAGAAUAGAUUUCUCCAAGUUCCCAAAAUAGAGAACCUCUAAGUAUCUUCAUCAAGGUUAGAUUGGAGAAGAAAUGAGUGACCUUGGAGGAGUAGUAUUGCUAGCUAAUCCCUCCAAGGGGGCCGGCCUCUUUAGAGAGAAAGGGAGAGACAUGUUCUCUCCAAUUUUCUCCAAAAGAAACCCUUAAUGAAUUUAGGCUAUAAAGUCCUUUAUAUAAUCCCUUCAAAUAAGUGACCUAAAGAACCAAAAAGCCAUUCUCUCUAACAUGGCCGGCCAUAAGGGUUUUAUUGGGCUUUUGGGCCUUUGUGAAUUAAGUUGUCAUACAACUUAAGUCAAUGGGCUUGACGUUCGAAGUCCAUUGGGCCUUGAGGCCCAAAACUAACCCUUGGUCUUUUAACGAACUUUAUUCGUUUGAUUAAUUAACAUAUUAAUUAAUCCUUGCCAUAAAUUAUUAAAUAAUUAAACCAUUUAAUUAUUCUUACUCAUCUCCAUUGUUUCUUCAAUCUCCACCUUACACGAUGUACGAUCCAUUAGGUUCAUUUUAGCGAGGCAGUGGGCGAUUAAAACCAUUUCAAAUCGAUUGUGAAUUGAAACUUACUUUCAAUUCUACCUUUAGUGAUUAUACACGUUUAGGGCUUCCACAAACCAUGAGUGACACCUAGCAGCAUAUCAUGGUUACCCAAGCUAAUCAGAAGAGGUGGAGAACCUAUUCAGUUUAGGAUUACAAAUGCAAUACGGUCUUUCUCUAAUACAAUACUCUUGACCACAUUGUUUGGUUUGAUAGUUUAUUCAUGUCUACUAUCCAAUGUGAUUCGUGUGCUUAUAUGAUUACCUUGAAUAUGAUUUGGAACACCUUCCUAAAUCUCAUUCAUACUCUGAUCAGAGAUUUUCGAUCAUAUCAUAGAGUAUUCUCCCUCAAACGGUUUGAAGGUUAGAGAUCCCUUGUUGCGCAUUCAAUUGCCUCCAUGGCUAAGUGGCUUAACCCCAACGAUGCCGUGGACACCUGCGGAUGGGGUGACUUUGACAUAAUCAAAGAUCAAGGACUUAACCACAAGACAACUGUGAUGCCUCUGGUCAAAUGACUACUCUGCAUUAUCCCAACCAUGAGUUCUUAUGUGACAUGAAUAUGAGAACUCUUCGUUGAUCGUGUUCAGUGAACUCAUUCUCUAUUGAGCACCUACGUACUUGUCUUAAUGUCACACACACCAAUGACUCGAGACUAGUCACUCUCCCUGAGAGAAGACACAGCACGUACUGAUCUUAACGGACUGUCAAUGCCCAAUUGGCAAUCCUAUGAUCAGGAACGUUUAAGAUGUGUCUACGAAAGAAUGGUCUCAUGAAUCUAACUUCUUUAGAUUGCAUUCUCCCAAUCACAUAUUCCUUGGACUUAUCGUUUAAGCAUAUAACAUUUAUAUGAGACGGCUCAAACAAUAAUCUUUGCCCUUUAUAUUUAAACUACAUUUGUUUAACUUUGUGAAAUGUCCGUAAAGUAUCAUCAUAUGAUUGGUUUUAGGGCACAUUUCCAACAAUCUCCCACUUGCACUAGAGCCAAUCAGCUUGGUCAUCAGUGAUGAUACCUCUUUUUGUAGUCAUUUCAUAAAUGGCUGAGUAGUAGGCCUAGACAAUGGAUAUCUAUAUGUUAUCCAUAGAAGCAACCUUGAGAAUAACGACGUCACCAUUAUACAUGAUUCUCAAUCAUGUGGUUCAGUCUCUCAUAUGAGUUCGGAUCUUGAUGAGACCUUGAUUCCCUGGCUUGAGCUAUCACCCCAUUAGUGUCAUAAUGUCAGUACACUAGAUACACUUUUUGGUUGGAACCGAAUAGAGAGUUCAUAAAUGAACUUUCCCAUCCAAACAACAUUGUUGUAAGCUUCUAUAUGGCAAUAUAUUUUGCAUUCAUAAUGGAACACACUAAAGUCAUUACUUUAAUGUUUCCAUCCAAAUAUCAUUUUAGUCAUAAUAAAGAGAUAUCUGUUAUCUCUUCAUUCAUAAUGAAGAAACAUCCAAUGAUGAAUUAGAUUCAUAAUCUAAUACAUUUACACUUCCAUUACGUUACUCUAAUUCUUCCUCAUUCUUUGAGGAAUCUAUCCUUUAGUAUUUCUUAAAUACUUAAGGACUUACUUGACAGUUGCCAUGGUUCUGAUCCUGGGCUUGCACUGAUAUCGUCUUGUACUGUUCUAGGUACAACUCAUAUCAAUGUUUUUCAUACAAUAUGAAAUACAUAAAUCACCUUUAUGCGUAUGCAUAAAGGAUUCUAUUUACGCAUUAUUUCUUUGGGAGUCAAAGAGUACGUUCUCUUUGAGAAGAGCAACUUCUUAGUCUCACUAGAGUUGUCCUUCUAAUUGAAGUUUAUCAUCAUAUGAGAAACUUCCUAGCAUCUAUUGUCUAUUAUUAGGGAUUGAUAUAAUCCAAUUAUAUCAUGAAAUAUAUCAUUAUAGAUUUCCAUCCCAUGUAUAUAGACUAUAUCUCCCAUAUACAUUCUAUCUUCAUAUAAUGUUUUAAAGUCAUAACUUUAACAAAGAAGAAUUCUUUUCAUUUCCAAAAUUAAUAUAUCAUAUAUAUUAAAUUUUAGGAACAUGAUUAACUCCCAUAUACAUUCUAUCGUUAUAGAAUGUUUAAAGUCAUAACUUUAACGAAGAAGUAUUCUUUUCAUUUCCAAAAUUAAUAUAUCAUAUAUAUUUAAAUUUUAGGAACAUGAUUAACUCCCACUAAUCUUUUGUAAACCUAGUAAACAAAAGAUUCAUUUACAUCUUUAUGAGAAAUCAAACGAUUUGAUCCUUUUCUCAUAAGAUGCUUAUAGCUCCCACUAGCUUGCUAAGAUUCAUGAUGGAUGGAUCUCUACAACUUACAUGUCUUGUGAUUCAUAGUUUCAGACAUAUAUUAUUAAGACUAUCUUAAUAAUGGUUUCGGAAACCCAUAUUAUGUUCAAACAUUGAAUCACCAUUUAGUUGUAGCUAGCAAUCUUCGAAUUAAUUGAAACCAAGACUACGUCAAAGAUGGUUUCUUCAAAGUCAACCAUUCUUUUGAUUGUAGUUACCUUAAGCUACCAAUUAGCUUAUGAAGGUUUCAUUAUUUCGGGUCAAAUGGUACUUUACCAUUUCCUUGAGUAUAUAUCGUAUAUACACUCAAUGUAGUCAUAAGGAUUUUCAUUCUUAUUUCUUUCAAAUUAAGAGGUGCAACUCUGACAUAGUCAUAAAGUUCAAACCAUUCAACUGAGACGGUUUAUAAAUCCUUCUUGACUACCUUGGGGCUUUUGGUAUAGGAACUAGGUUGUUAUAUUUGUUGAUUAUUAUCUUGUCUCUCAAAGAACCCAUUCUUUGAGUUCUAUCUCUCGUUCAUUUGCUCUUAGGCAAAUCACAUUGUAGGAUUACAAUGAACUACCCAACAAAACAACAUUUGUUAGUUGGUUUAUAGAAGUGAUAUCCAAAAGUUAAUUUAAGGAUAUCCCACAAGAUUGUUAUCAAACAAAUAUUGCUUAUUAGCACACAACCUCAAAUCUUAACAUGCUUAAGAUUUGUCUUUCUUUUCAACUACAUCUUAUGGAGUCAUGAAAAUUUUGGAAGAUCUUCUAAUUGACAAUCAUAUUGUCUUAGAAGUAUAUAUCCUAUAUAUGGGUUAUAGAUAACAUAUAACGAACUAAAUCUUAUUCGAGUUCGUUCUUCUCCUAAUGGAGAAAUUCAUUAUCUUAUGAUGCUAUUUUCCUUGAUAUCUUUCAAGGAAACUCAUCUAAAGUGUUACUUUUCCUUGGAUCAAAUCUAAGGAGGUAAAUACUUUAGACAUCUUACUCAUCAACUUACAUUUCUUGAAUUCUUUGAAACAUUUUGCAAAGUAUUCGGACUUGUGUUUAUUCAUAAUAAACUAUAGUCCAACCGAGAGUGAUCUUCGGUGAAUGUCAUCCAACAUGAGUAGUAUUAUGUUGUGGACAAGUGCCACUAACAUCUAAGUGAAUUAACCUCAACAACUUUGUGAUUCUUUCUUCUUUCCAAAAGAAUAAAGAUUCGAACAUUUCGCCUAUACAAUUUUAACAAGAAGGUAUUGGAUCUGGAUCUAACGAUCCAAAGCAUCCAUCUAUGACCAACUCGUAAUUUAUGUUUUUAGAGGUAUCACAACUUAGUUGGGAUUAGUCACUACCUUGCAACCUUUUGGGUUUUAAGCAUCAUUAUGUUCUGAACAGUUAACACUACCAUAUCAUCUUUACUAUAGAGACAAUCAAUUAGAUUACUAUAAUCCAAUUAUUGAUUAAUAAAGAACAAUGUUUUGUCAAACAAAACAUUCAUCCAUCUCUACUAUAGUGACAGAAUUAAGUUCCUUAAAAUUGGAAUGUAAAGACAAUCUUUGGUUUUUCCAAUUUCUUUGGUAGUUCAUAUGAGGAAGUAAGUAUUAUCUGCAUUCGCAGAGAUCUAUAUUUUAUUCACGUUCCGAAUAUGAAGCAUCUUUUCUUCUCUCAUAUAUCUUCUACUUCUUAUUAGUCACACUUUUACAACGAUUGUAAAACAUAGUUACUAAUACGGAAUCAAGCAUUCAGUUUCCCCUUCAGAUCCGAGCCAGGUCCGGGUCGUCGGAUUUGCUCGAAUCCGAAAAUGUCAUACCCAUCAAGGCAAUUUCUCAUUUUCUUCAUCCAUUUAUAAUUUAUAUAUAUAUAAAGAUUGAAAAUUUAUGAGUGAUUUGAAUUUUGGGGUGUUUGAUUGUGUAGAUUCAUAGGGACCAGGAGAGUGGGAAGAUUCUGAAUUUGGUGUUUGUUUGGGCGAAUGAGGGCUCCGAGCUGAAAGUUGAUGUCUCUGUUGUUUUCAAAGGUGAAGAUGUUUGUCCUGGUCUAAAAAAAGUAAUUUAAUUUUCUUUGGCUGCACAUUGUUUGGUUUGUUUCGUAUCAUUGGUAAACAGAAGUUGCGUAUUUGAUCCCAAACCCGUAACUUUGAAGUUGGAUUGUUUAGGAAUAGGUAGAAAAUUUGGUCAUCGAUGUGAUACAUUGCUUGAUUUAAGGGUUGUUCUAUCAUCCUUUGAGCAAUUUCGUCCCAAAAUUGCAGAAGAGAGUGAAGAAAAGCAAGAGGCUCUGUUGGUGGCCACUGCUUCUCUGUUUUCUCUCUUAUUUCUGUGUGCGUGGGUGGAUAUUUACAGAAUGUGGAAGAAUGAAUUGGAAGGGGAAAGGUGGGUGAGAAUACGGAAGAGGAAGGAUGAAUUGCAAAAGUAAGUUGAUAACCACGUUGUGCGGGAAGGAAGCAACUGUCUAUCUCCUCUCGCUCUCUGGCUCAACUUGAAAGAGAAAGAAAUAAUUUAGAAAGUUGUGUAUAUUUUUUUUUAUUAUUAAUAUAUUUUUUGUCGGUUUUAUCCGACAAGAAUGCUUUUAUUUAUUCAUUAUUAAUAAAUUCUCUGUCGGUUAUAUCCGACACAAGUUCUGUCGGUUUUAGUAUUUUUUGUCGGUUUUAUCAGACAGAGAAUUAUCUGUUGGUUAUAUCCGACACAAUUUCUGUCGGUUUUAGAGUAUUUUCUAUCAGAAAAUUUAUUUCCUAACGCCGACAAUUCUGUCGCUUAUUAUAUCCGCCAUUGCAUCCAUUUUCUGUCGGAUUUUGCUUAAUAUCCGACAGUAAUACCCAUUUCUUGACGGUUUUUAUAGUGACACUAAUAAAUGAAUUUGUAGUAGUCUCUAUUGGUAUUUUGACAAAAAAACUCUAAUGGUAUUUAUUUUUGCCACGGUUUCAAGGCUUCUUUCACUUUGUAGGUAUUUUGGUAGUCUCUAUUUGUCGAACAAGUGGACAAUUACCUAACCCACUUGGGCUGUCACGGUUUGAGAAAUCACUUGGAUUGGAUGGCCCACUUGGGCUGUCAUGGUCUGAGCCAUUUGGGCUGUUACAGUUUGAGCAAUCACAUGGAUUGCAUGGUCCACUUAGGCUGUCACGGUCUGGGCCAUUUGGGCUUGUCUCUUGAUAUUCCAUCUUGGGUGUCCCUCGGAGCAGCAGGGUUGCUGUUGCUGUUGCUGUCACGGUCUUGAUUAGGCAUCCCACUUGGGCUAGCAAAAGAUUCUGCAGAGGAAAUCUUCACAAUAUCGAGCCCGCAAUAAUUGUCGAUUAAGGUUGUCUUCCCCUAAGGAGUAUGGCUGGAAGGAAAAAAUAAUUCGUCUUCAGACAAUGUAACAUCCACGGUGACGUACGUAUGUCGAGUAGAUGGAUGAUAACAUUGAUACCCCUUUUCUGGAGGACCAAAGCCAAAGAACACACACCGCACCACACAUGGAUCAAGCUUGCUUCUUUGAUUUUUGUGAAAAUGGGCAUAUGCCACAUAACCAAAAACCCAGGGUUCGAGAUGAAGAGUGGAAGGGAGCAAAACAGAUCUGCAAGCACGGCCAAUGGCAUUCUAAACACACGAUAUCAUUAAUAACCUUAAUGCAGAACUACAAAAACUUUGAUAUGAAUUUUACUGUAUCAAAGUACUCUAUAAUCAUACACACUCAAACAGUAAGGAGGCCCCUCACUGUUUCCUGUUUCGAUUAGAAUGUUUAUUUGCAGAAUUGACUCUUGGAUGUAACUCAAGCACAUGUUAAGCCAUGUUCUGUCCAAUAUUCUUAUAACACAGAUUGCUUUUAGCAUCUGCUUCAAUGUUUCCUCUGCGAUUAUAGAGCUAAGGAGAGUUAUACUCUACUGAAGAAGAGAUUAUUCUGCGGUCGGCUCAGAUAAUUAAGGAGCAUGGUGCAAAGAUAUGACCACUCAAUAGUCUCAAAAUUAUAUUUUGGAACACUGCAUUUCGAUACAGAGAAGAGUUUUUCAUGAAAAUAUGAGUGACAUUAGUUUGUCCUAGGUUCUCUUGAGUUGAGAAGAGAGCUAAAACUAGGAUCCAUUGUGAGGUAUCCAUUGCUAUGUGUUACAUGUAGAAAAUUCAUGCUGACUUUUUCGUUAAACACACGAGUCUCAACGUUAAAUCUUUCGUUUUUACUCUUUGAUCCAAGGUUAAACCUCUUAUGUGUUGUACAAAAUUAUUUGGGGAUCAUCAUUCAUUGUAUGGGUGGUGAGAUUGGAAUGUUGCGUAAAUUGGGUUUCACAAGUCUAACCACACAUUGUCAUAAAAUUACAAUUGGUCAAGGCUUUUCAUACGAAAGAGAAUCAAAAUAAAUACAGACUUUUCGCCUAAGAUAACCGCAGAUUCCGCUGAAAAGUAAUAAUUAAACAUGUCUAUAGAAAAGAGAGAAAAAAUGUAGCAAUCAAUUCCUAAAGGAGAAUAAAGGAAAGAAAAAUUGGGUAAAGAGGGGGUGGCCAAUGGUGAAACCUAACCCCCUUUGGAUUAGAAUAAUACUAUCAAGAACAUGUUACUCUAAGAAAAGAAGCACAUCAACAACAGAGGUUCUUUUGCAUUCAACUUCUAGCAAGUCCAAAAGACAGUCAAUUAUGGUGUUUCUUGAUAAUUAUUUGGUUUUUAAUUUUAUUUUUUUUAAGUUAAAAACUGAAAUCUUGUUUAAUAAUUACUUUAUUAGUCUUCAAAAUUUGACUUUAAGUUUUCACGUUGUUUGUUUUCAAUAUUUUUUUUAAAACCUAAAACUUAAAACAGUUACCAAACAAGUUUUCAAUUUUCAAAAAAGUGAAAACUAAAAACCGAAAUUCGAAAUGAAAAGCUAAAAAUUGAAAACUGAAGAUGAAGAACGGCCCCUAAGGAAAUCACAUUUGUAUUACAUUGGUAUACCAUCUGAUUGAAUAAGUAAUGUAUACAUGCCACGGUAAUUAAUAAAUUUAUUUCAUUGAGUGAUAGUUGUAUAUGUAUCACUUGGCACAUUAGAUGAUACAUCAAUAUGAUUUAAAUAAGUAGUCUCCCUACCAUUACUUUUAUUUCCUAACUAAAUUUGUAUGGAACUUUUAUAAAUUUCUAAAGGAAAAAAAAUUCACUAAAACCAAACUAAGUAGCAAAUAAAACACGUUUUAGGGUUUUUUUUUCACUCUUAAUGCAGAAUGUUUAUAUUACAUCCUCACUUGGGGUUAAUUAGAUAUAAUAAUAUGAGAGUAUAGUGGCGGCACUUUUCCAACUUAGAGUAUAACGUCAAUAAUUAAAUACAUAUAUUAUAACACAAUGAAAUUAUCAAGAAGCCGUUUGGUAAGUAUUUCGUUUUUAGUUUAUUAGUUUUUACGGUUUUCAAAAUUAAAAACUAAAAUCUUAUUUCGUAAUUACUUUUAAUUUUCAAGUUUCAAAAAAUACAAACUAGAAAACUAAAAAGUGAAAACUAAGGGAAAUUUCUUUUUAAAAAAGAGAAUGUUGUGACUUAUUUGAUUUGAGAGAAAGAGAGGGUGCAGUGCGGCAUAGACAGAAAAAGAGAGAUGAAGAAUACGCUUGAGAAAUUUUAUGUGUUAUUUUCUAUAUUUUGUGCAUUUAUUUAUAGUAAACUAAAGACGAUUUUUUACCUUAUAAGUAAUACAAAAAAGAUAUUCCAGUAUCCUAUAUAUACAAUGUACAACUGAUUUACACGAUUGUUAGAAUUAUUUUCACAACAAGAAAGUAAUGUUCAGCUUUUAUUUGAAAGUAGUAAUCAAAUAAGGUUUUAAUUUUUGAAUUUUUUAAAAUUAAAAAAAAAUCUAAAAUAAAAAGAUUAUUCAAACCGACAUGAGACGGCUACCAAGCAAUUAAGCAUUGGUUGUCGCCGGAACACCGUACACCGUACACGUGGCCAGCGGUACAGCGUGUCAUUUGGUCCAAUAAAAUGACAAUCUGGUUCAAAACUACAAGUUAAUUCUCUCAUUGCAAAUUCCAUCCGACAGAAAGAAUACAAUACAAUUAUGGAAAAAGAUGAUCAUCUUAGCGUUGUGAUGCUGCCAUGGUCUGCCUUUGGCCACAUGAUGCCUUUUUUCCAACUUUCAAUAGCUUUAGCAAAAGCAAAAGUUCAUGUCUCCUUCAUAUCCACACCAAAAAACAUCCAAAGACUCCCCAAAAUCUUACCAGAUUUGCAACCCUUUGUGCAAUUAGUCCCCAUUCCAUUUCCACCGUUGGAUCCCGACUUAUUGCCGGAAGGAGCUGAGGCCUCGGUGGACCUCCCCUUUGAAAAUACUGACAACUUGAAGAUUGCAUACGACCUCCUGCAAACACCCAUCAAGCAGUUCAUUGGGGAUCGAUUGCCUGAUUGGAUCAUAACCGACUUUGCUGCUCAUUGGGUCGUAGAGAUUGGCAAAGAGUACGGCGUUCCACUUGUCUAUUUUACUGUUGUCUCUGCUGCUAC